GUCGAACGGAGUUGUUAUUCAGAAGUUCUUCGGGAUGGAAGGAUAAGAACUUAGUGGCGGACGGGUGAGUAACGCGUGGGUAACCUGCCCUUUUGUGGGGAACAACUUCGAGAAAUCGGAGCUAAUACCGCAUAAUAAUAGAGGAUCGCAUGAUUCUUUAAGGAAAGAUGGCCUCUGAAGAUGCUAUCGCAAAAGGAUGGACCCGCGUCUGAUUAGCUAGUUGGAAGGGUAACGGCCUACCAAGGCAACGAUCAGUAGCCGGCCUGAGAGGGUGAACGGCCACAUUGGGACUGAGACACGGCCCAAACUCCUACGGGAGGCAGCAGUGGGGAAUCUUCCGCAAUGGGCGAAAGCCUGACGGAGCAAUGCCGCGUGAGUGAAGAAGGCCUUCGGGUUGUAAAACUCUGUCCUUAUCGAAGAGAGGUAGGUAUGUGAAUAAUGUACCUAUAGGACGGUAGAUAAGGAGGAAGCCCCGGCUAACUACGUGCCAGCAGCCGCGGUAAUACGUAGGGGGCGAGCGUUGUCCGGAAUCACUGGGCGUAAAGGGCGCGUAGGCGGUUUAAUAAGUCAGUGGUGAAAACUGAGGGCUCAACCCUCAGCCUGCCACUGAUACUGUUAGACUUGAGUAUGGAAGAGGAGAAUGGAAUUCCUAGUGUAGCGGUGAAAUGCGUAGAUAUUAGGAGGAACACCAGUGGCGAAGGCGAUUCUCUGGGCCAAGACUGACGCUGAGGCGCGAAAGCGUGGGGAGCAAACAGGAUUAGAUACCCUGGUAGUCCACGCCGUANACGAUGGAUACUAGGUGUUAGUAGUUNCGAUGCUACUAGU
rnacentral:rRNA from 1 species